rnacentral:misc_RNA from 1 species
UGAAAUAUUACAGAUUACUCAUAUCUAUAAACUGGAUAUAAUUUUAAAAAGAAAAAGACAUUGUCUUCGUGUUUUUUUUUUUUAAUUUUUGGACUUACACAGAAGAAGACGAUGAUGCUGAAGGAGAUGAAGAAGGAUCAAAGACUGAGCAAAACUCAAACCUAUUAGCUUCCAUCUUUUCCACCACGAAAUGCCCCAACAAUUCUUUCGUUUCCACCAAAUUCUCACUGCACAAGAACUCUUCACUGCAGAUUUUCUCAACAUUUCUGUCGAUUUCGUGAACAAAAACAUGGGUUUUGCCGGAAUUACCUCUCUUACUCCGGGCAAAAACGCCGGCGGUGUAAAUCGCUGACAUCCGUCCCGGAGCGGCAGAGGAAAACCCACGUGGCCCGUCUAUCAAAAUGACAUCCCACGGCACAUCGUAUAUGUGAUUUGGCAGGUCAUUGAUCCCCAAUUUACAGUCGGAAAAUAGAAGAUUCUGAACAGGCCGGCACUCUCCUUUGAGCUGCUCUUUCGUGUAAUCCAACAAAUCGUGCAAUUCACUCACUUUCGUCGUGAAUUGAACAUCGUAAGCUUCAAUUUCCGGGUGCUUCUCUUCUAGCUUAGAUACCAAAUAAGCACUUUCAUCCACAAAUACUGUACGCCCUUUAUGAUUGAACGAAUGCCACAACAGGGUUUCGUGAGUAAGACCAAAAACAAGGAAAUUACAAGGAGCUUUACAACGGCGGAGGACUGUAGCGAUCGACUUCAACUCCACCGCCGACAUGCGGGAAGAAACAGUAGACGAGUUCAUAGAAG